ensembl:misc_RNA Y_RNA Y RNA
GGCUGGUCCGAUGGUAGUGGGUUAUCAGAACUUAUUAACAUUAGUGUCACUAAAGUUGGUAUACAACCCCCCACUGCUAAAUUUGACUGGCUUUAA